UUUAUAUGAGGAUUAAGAUUAAGGUUUAAAUAUACUGGAGUAAAUAAUAACUAAUUUGAGUAUUUAAAGCGGUAGACUGAAUUUAGUACCGUAAGGGAAAUAUUUUAGAGUGGCAGAGUAGUGCUGGGUGUGCGUACCUUUUGUAUCAUGGUCUAGUAAGAGUGAGAAGUAUAUAACUUAUUCUCGAAAUCUGAAGAGCUACUCACUCCCUAAUUUUAGUUAUAGUAAAGAAUCUAAAUGUGGCAAAAUUUUAAUUAGAGGGGUGGGUUGUAAUGAUAUUUUAUUCGGUUUAGAUGAUAGCUAGUUCUUUUGAUAAAGGCAUAUAAGUGCCGGGGUCUGUAGGAGCAUUAAAGUGUAAAAGUCAUGAAUGAAGGCAGAUUUCUGAGGUAAAUAAGGAUAAGCUUGUUUAUAAAAAUUAAAGAAUUUAGAUAGAUAUGUUUAGGCUUAAAAUUAGCCAGGAGGAUAGUUUGUUAUAAAAUAAUUGAUGCUUGUGAGUAAAAAAAGAUGGGUUUUGAAAAAGUUAGAAAGGAAGUUUAGUUAGAAAUUUAAAUAUAAUUAGAGAUAAUGCUAGAAUGAGUAUUAAAAUGUUAAGAACAGAUAGUAGUAUAGUGGACUUAUAGUGUAAAUAACUGGUCUUAGAUGUGUUGGUGUUUGUAUAAAAUGAUGUUUAUGGAAGGAACUCGGCAAGAUUAAAUUUCCCGCCUGUUUAGCAAAAACAUGGCUCUUUGACUUAAAAUUGAUGAAGAGUUGUACCUGCCCUAUGAUAAAUGUAUUAAAUGGCCGCGGUACUCUGACCGUGCAAAGGUAGCAUAAUCAUUUGUCUAUUAAUUGUAGACUAGUAUGAAUGGUUUGACGAGGAAAUGACUGUCUCUCAUAAAUUAAAUAGAAUUUAAUCUUUAGGUUAAAAGGCCUAAAUAAAAUUAAUAGACGAGAAGACCCUGUCGAGCUUAAGUUGGAAUGUAGAGGUGAUAGUAUCUUUAAUGUAAGCUUUGGUUGGGGCGACCAAGGAACAAGUGAAGCUUCCUGUUUUAGUGUUUGGUAGACAAAGAUCCGGUAAAUAUCGAUCAAGGGAAUAAGCUACCGCAGGGAUAACAGCAUAAUCUUUCUAGAGAGUUCUUAUUGAAGGGGAGGUUUGUGACCUCGAUGUUGGACUAGAGUAUCCUAGGGGUGUAGCAGCUUCUAAGGGUUGGACUGUUCGUCCAUGAAAACUCU
rnacentral:rRNA from 1 species